rnacentral:rRNA from 1 species
AGGGAAUCUUCCGCAAUGGACGAAAGUCUGACGGAGCAACGCCGUGUGAGUGAUGAAGGUUUUCGGAUCGUAAAACUCUGUUGUUAGGGAAGAACAAGUACCGUUCGAAUAGGGCGGUACCUUGACGGUACCUAACCAGAAAGCCACGGCUAACUACGUGCCAGCAGCCGCGGUAAUACGUAGGUGGCAAGCGUUGUCCGGAAUUAUUGGGCGUAAAGCGCGCGCAGGCGGUUUCUUAAGUCUGAUGUGAAAGCCCCCGGCUCAACCGUGGAGGGUCAUUGGAAACUGGAAGACUUGAGUGCAGAAGAGGAGAGUGGAAUUCCACGUGUAGCGGUGAAAUGCGUAGAGAUGUGGAGGAACACCAGUGGCGAAGGCGACUCUCUGGUCUGUAACUGACGCUGAGGCGCGAAAGCGUGGGGAGCAAAC